rnacentral:rRNA from 1 species
UACGUAGGGGGCUAGCGUUGUCCGGAAUCAUUGGGCGUAAAGAGCGUGUAGGCGGCCAAGCAGGUCCGUUGUGAAAACUGGAGGCUUAACCUCCAGACGUCGACGGAAACCGCGUGGCUAGAGUCCGGAAGAGGAGAGUGGAAUUCCUGGUGUAGCGGUGAAAUGCGCAGAUAUCAGGAAGAACACCAAUGGCGAAGGCAGCUCUCUGGGACGGUACUGACGCUGAGACGCGAAAGCGUGGGGAGCGAACAGG